rnacentral:lncRNA from 1 species
GUAAAUGCCAUUACUUACUCAGUGCUAACUAACCAAUAACUGCUAAGUGAUAACACUGGAAAAGAAAAAUGUUUCAAUAAUGUUUGCUGUAGUAAUGCAAAGUUCUUUAGUAUAUAUUAACUCAUUUACUCCUCUAACCAACCCUAAGCAGCAGUUUGUAUUACUUAUGUAAUUAUUUCCACUGGGGGAAGGAGACUUGAGAGGUGAAGUGAAUUGUCCAAAGUCAAAUAGGAAAGUAGAAGAAUCAGUUUCCUGACUCCAAGUUCAAUCCUCCCUCCCCACCCUCCAAUUAUAACAAGUUUAACAUGUCUGAAGUGAAGUCCACUAGGCAACAGGGAUGGGAAGCUGUGCUGAAGCUGGGCAUAAGAGUUAUCAGCUGAGGGAUGCACUGGGACUACAGGCAUGAGAAGGACCAUUAAAGGAAUACCUAUGGCGGAGAGGAAGCCUGGAAAACGUAUCCUUGCCAGACAGAAAGACUCUAGCUGAGACAACUGUUUAAAGUAAACAAGGAAAACAAGCACACUACUUCCAUGCUGAAAAUAGCCACAGAUAAAUACAAAUGGAAAGCCUAGUCCUGGCAGCCAGCAGUUUCCUGAGCACCCCCUGCCUUAAAGUGCAAGGGCCCAAGGGUCUUCAGGUAAGCUGUGUGGAUGUUGUUUGGCACAGGUUCUCCUUUUACAGAAUGAAGAUCAAGGUGGAUAAAAUGAAGGAAGAAAUAGGUUCACAAAGGUACAUCUGACCAGAAACUGAUACCCAGGAUUUGUAAAGAACUCCUACAAUUCAGGAAAACAUACACCACCCAAUAAAAAGUGGACACAGAUGUUGAGUAGACGUCCCCCAAAGAAUGCCUGCUGAUUGCCAAGAAGCAUAUGAAGAGUCCUGACACCAUUAGUCACCGGGAAAUGCCAAUGGACGCUACACACAAUGGGGUGUCAGAGGCGCCCCUAGAAGACUGAUUCAAGAGACUGACCGCACCACACGUGGGCAAGAACGUGGAGCACCCAGAACUUGGCCAGUGCCGGUGGUGCAGUAGUGGUGAAACAGCAUAAUCACGCCUGGGAAGCAGCCCUAGUAGUGUCUCAUGAUAUUAAGUACACACAGAUUCUGUGACCAAGUGAUUCCACUCUGAAUAUGAUCAAUCCAGUAUGUCCACAAAAUACUGUUCUACG